ACCUGGUUGAUCCUGCCAGUAGCAUAUGCUUGUCUCAAAGAUUAAGCCAUGCAUGUCUCAGUACUUGCCGCUCCGACGGCGAAACCGCAAAUGGCUCAUUAAAUCAGUCACGGUUCAUUGGAUCGUGACGCGUUACUUGGAUAACUGUGGCAAUUCUAGAGCUAAUACAUGCAGCCGAGCUCCGACCCUCCGGGGGACGAGCGCUUUUAUUAGAUUGUGACCGGCCCCUCCUCUCGGGGUGGGGAUCGGAAACGUGAACCGAAGCUGAGUAACUUUGGCAGAUCGCACGGGCCCGUCCCGGCGACGCAUCUUUCAAGUGUCUGCCCUAUCAACUGUCGACGGUAGGUCAUGCGCCUACCGUGGUCGCCACGGGUGACGGGGAAUCAGGGUUCGAUUCCGGAGAGGGAGCCUGAGAGACGGCUACCACAUCUAAGGAAGGCAGCAGGCACGCAAAUUACCCACUCCCGGCUCGGGGAGGUAGUGACGAAAAAUAACGAUACGGGACUCAUCGAGACCCCGUGAUCGGAAUGAGUACGCUCUAAACCCCCUAACGAGGACCUACCGGAGGGCAAGACUAAUGCCAGCCGCUGCGGUAAUUUUAGCUCCGGUAGCGUAUACUAAAAUUGUUGCAGUUAAAAAGCUCGUAGUCGGACCUCUGCU